rnacentral:rRNA from 1 species
GAUGAACGCUGGCGGCGUGCUUAACACAUGCAAGUCGAACGGAAAGGCCCAAGCUUGCUUGGGUACUCGAGUGGCGAACGGGUGAGUAACACGUGGGUGAUCUGCCCUGCACUUCGGGAUAAGCCUGGGAAACUGGGGCUAAUACCGGAUAGGACCACUUCUUGGAUGUUGUGGUGGAAAGUUUUUUCGGUGUGGGAUGAGCUCGCGGCCUAUCAGCUUGUUGGUGGGGUAAUGGCCUACCAAGGCGUCGACGGGUAGCCGGCCUGAGAGGGUGUACGGCCACAUUGGGACUGAGAUACGGCCCAGACUCCUACGGGAGGCAGCAGUGGGGAAUAUUGCACAACGGGCGCAAGCCUGAUGCAGCGACGCCGCGGGGGGGAUGACGCCCUUCGGGUUGGAAACUCCUUUCGCUAGGGACGAAGCGUUUUGUGACGGUACCUGGAGAAGAAGCACCGGCUAACUACGUG